GAUGAACGCUGGCGGCGUGCCUAACACAUGCAAGUCGAGCGAGAACCGCUGGAAUGACACUUCGGUAGAAUGAAAGCGGGGAAAGCGGCGGACGGGUGAGUAACGCGUAGGUAACCUGCCCCAUACACAGGGAUAGCCUAGGGAAACCUGGAUUAAUACCUGAUGAAGCAACUGGUCGCAUGACCGGCUGCCAAAGAUUUAUCGGUAUGGGAUGGACCUGCGUCUGAUUAGUGAGUUGGUGGGGUAAUGGCCUACCAAAGCGACGAUCAGUAGCCGACCUGAGAGGGUGAUCGGCCACAUUGGAACUGAGACACGGUCCAAACUCCUGCGGGAGGCAGCAGUGGGGGAUAUUGCACAAUGGGCGGAAGCCUGAUGCAGCAACGCCGCGUGAGCGAAGAAGGUCUUCGGAUCGUAAAGCUCUGUCCUGGGGGAAGAACAAAUGACGGUACCCCGGGAGGAAGCCCGGCUAACUACGUGCCAGCAGCCGCGGUAAACU
rnacentral:rRNA from 1 species